AAAAGAGUGAUUUUUUAUUAAGGUGUGUUAGCAUAACUGACUUAACACUGGAGCAUUUCAACAAACAGCAGACGAGCAUGCACUACGCGUCAACUGUACCAGAGAGGUUGAGUAGUGGGUCAUGCCAUUUAUAACAGACACACGAUAUUUCUUCUAGA